ACACUAUACACACCCUCCACUGUACCACACUGUUCAAUGAUAGAUACAGACACUAUACACACCCUCCACUGUACCACACUGUUCAAUGAUAGAUACAGACACUAUACACACCCUCUACUGUUCAAUGAUAGGUACAGACACUAUACACACCCUCUACUGUACCACACUGUUCAAUGAUAGGUACAGACACUAUACACACCCUCCACUGUACCACACUGUUCAAUGAUAGAUACAGACACUAUACACACCCUCUACUGUUCAAUGAUAGGUACAGACACUAUACACACCCUCUACUGUUCAAUGAUAGGUACAGACACUAUACACACCCUCUACUGUUCAAUGAUUGGUACAGACACUAUACACACCCUCUACUGUACCACACUGUUCAAUGAUAGGUACAGACACUAUACACACCCUCCACUGUUCAAUGAUAGGUACAGACACUAUACACCCUCUACUGUUCAAUGAUAGGUACAGACACUAUACACACCCUCUACUGUUCAAUGAUAGGUACAGACACUAUACACACCCUCCACUGUACCACACUGUUCAAUGAUAGGUACAGACACUAUACACACCCUCUACUGUACCACACUGUUCAAUGAUAGGUACAGACACUAUACACACCCUCUACUGUUCAAUGAUAGGUACAGACACUAUACACACCCUCCACUGUACCACACUGUUCAAUGAUAGAUACAGACACUAUACACACCCUCUACUGUUCAAUGAUAGGUACAGACACUAUACACACCCUCUACUGUUCAAUAAUAGGUACAGACACUAUACACACCCUCUACUGUUCAAUGAUAGGUACAGACACUAUACACACCCUCCACUGUACCACACUGUUCAAUGAUAGGUACAGACACUAUACACACCCUCUACUGUACCACACUGUUCAAUGAUAGGUACAGACACUAUACACACCCUCUACUGUUCAAUGAUAGGUACAGACACUAUACACACCCUCUACUGUACCACACUGGUCAAUGAUAGGUACAGACACUAUACACACCCUCUACUGUACCACACUGUUCAAUGAUAGGUACAGACACUAUACACACCCUCUACUGUUCAAUGAUAGGUACAGACACUAUACACACCCUCCACUGUACCACACUGUUCAAUGAUAGAUAGACACUAUACACACCCUCUACUGUUCAAUGAUAGGUACAGACACUAUACACACCCUCUACUGUUCAAUGAUAGGUACAGACACUAUACACACCCUCUACUGUACCACACUGUUCAAUGAUAGGUACAGACACUAUACACACCCUCUACUGUUCAAUGAUAGGUACAGACACUAUACACACCCUCUACUGUUCAAUGAUAGGUACAGACACUAUACACACCCUCUACUGUUCAAUGAUUGGUACAGACACUAUACACACCCUCUACUGUACCACACUGUUCAAUGAUAGGUACAGACACUAUACACACCCUCUACUGUUCAAUGAUAGGUACAGACACUAUACACACCCUCCACUGUACCACACUGUUCAAUGAUAGGUACAGACACUAUACACACCCUCUACUGUACCACACUGUUCAAUGAUAGGUACAGACACUAUACACACCCUCUACUGUUCAAUGAUAGGUACAGACACUAUACACACCCUCUACUGUUCAAUGAUAGGUACAGACACUAUACACACCCUCUACUGUUCAAUGAUUGGUACAGACACUAUACACACCCUCUACUGUACCACACUGUUCAAUGAUAGGUACAGACACUAUACACACCCUCUACUGUACCACACUGGUCAAUGAUAGGUACAGCCACUAUACACACCCUCUACUGUACCACACUGUUCAAUGAUUGGUACAGACACUAUACACACCCUCUACUGUUCAAUGAUAGAUACAGACACUAUACACACCCUCCACUGUACCACACUGUUCAAUGAUAGGUACAGACACUAUACACACCCUCUACUGUACCACACUGUUCAAUGAUAGGUACAGACACUAUGCACACCCUCCACUGUUCAAUGAUAGGUACAGACACUAUACACACCCUCCACUGUACCACACUGUUCAAUGAUAGAUACAGACACUAUACACACCCUCUACUGUUCAAUGAUAGGUACAGACACUAUACACACCCUCUACUGUUCAAUGAUAGGUACAGACACUAUACACACCCUCCACUGUACCACACUGUUCAAUGAUAGAUACAGACACUAUACACACCCUCUACUGUUCAAUGAUAGGUACAGACACUAUACACACCCUCUACUGUUCAAUGAUAGGUACAGACACUAUACACACCCUCUACUGUUCAAUGAUUGGUACAGACACUAUACACACCCUCUACUGUACCACACUGUUCAAUGAUAGGUACAGACACUAUACACACCCUCUACUGUUCAAUGAUAUAUACAGACACUAUACACACCCGCUACUGUUCAAUGAUAGGUACAGACACUAUACACACCCUCUACUGUUCAAUGAUAGGUACAGACACUAUACACACCCUCUACUGUACCACACUGUUAAAUGAUAGGUACAGACACUAUACACACCCUCUACUGUACCACACUGUUCAAUGAUAGGUACAGACACUAUACACACCCUCUACUGUACCACACUGUUCAAUGAUUGGUACAGACACUAUACACACCCUCUACUGUUCAAUGAUAGAUACAGACACUAUACACACCCUCCACUGUACCACACUGUUCAAUGAUAGGUACAGACACUAUACACACCCUCUACUGUACCACACUGUUCAAUGAUAGGUACAGA